CCAAAAGGCAUUUAAAGACUCUCAAAACCAUGAGGAACAAGAUUGAACUCUUUGGCCUGAAUGCCAAGCAUCAUGUCUGGAGGGAACUUGGCACCACCCCUACGUUGAAGCAUGGUGCUGGCAGCAUCAUGCUGUGGGGAUGUUUUUCAACGGCAGCGACUUGGAGACUAGUCAGGAUCGAGGAAAAGAUGAACGGAGCAAAGUAGAGAGAGAUCCUUGAUGAAAACUUGCCCCAGAGUGCUCAGGAUCUCAGAUUGGGGUGAAGGUUCACCUUCCAACAAGACAACGACCCUAAGCACACAGCCAAGACAGCACAGGAGUGGCUUUGUGUAAUGAAGGGGCGGUGAGUCGGAAGCAGGUGCAGGUGAAACAUUUUAAUAAAACAAAACCAAGAACAUGACACUAACAUAAGGCCGAUACAGAAGAACAAUACCAACUGGUGAGUGAACAUGGGAGAGUAACAUAUAAAGGGGAGGAAACAAAGGUAAUGGAGUCCAGGUGUGAAUCAUAAUGAUUAACAGGUGUGCGUAAUGAUGAGUGCCAAGUGUGCUCAAUGAUACAAUCCUAGGACCGGUGGUUAGUACUCUAGAGACGUCAUAUGCCUGGGGGGAGAAGCAGGAGCAGACAUAAUCCCCAGGAUGAAACACAGGGGUCUCACUGCGGUGACGGUCUGCCUAUUCCCUCUGACGAUGAACGGCGUGCUGGGGUCCCACGUGCGCAUUGUUCCACACCUCCUCCAUGUGCCGGAACUACUCAUCUACUACAGGAGCCAUGGUCUGGCCCGGAGUCCAUGGGGCCAGGGCCGGCUGGAAACCCAAAACACACUGGAAGGGGUUCAACCCAGUCGAGAAGUGACGUAGAGAGUUCUGGGCAUAUUCUGCCCAAGGAAGGAAAUGUGCCCACUCAGCCUGCCGGUCCUGACAGUGACUCCUCAGGAACCUCCCCAGCUCCUGAUUCAUCCUCUCCACCUGCCUGUUAGACUGAGGCCGAUACCCGGAUGUGAGGCUAACCGUGACCCCAAGCUUCUCUAAGAAGGCCCUCCAUACUCGGGAUGUGAAUUGGAGGCCACGGUCCGAGACAAUGUCCUUCGGAAGGUCAUAAUGCCAGAAGACCUGCUGGAAGACUGCCUCAGAAACCUGGAGAGCAGUGGGAAGACCAGGAAGAGGGGUGAAUCGACAUUACUUUGAAAAUCUAUCCACUACCACCAGAAUGGUGAUGAAACCAUCAGAAGGGGAAAGAUCAGUAACAAAGUUAAUGGACAGAUGGAACCAAGGUUGCUGAGUCACGGGAAGUGGCAGGAGCGUCCCUGCUGGAGCAUUUCCGGGGGGGAAUUGGUUUGAGCACACAUGGAACAGGAGUUGACAUAUCGAGUAACAUCCUGCACCACAGUGGGCCACCAGUAUUUCUCAGUGAGGGAAUGGAUAGUGCGAGAAAUCCCUGGAUGUCCAGCGAUGACAGGUGUGUGCCCAGUUCAGCAGCCGAUCCCUUAACCCUGUGUGAACGUAGAUACGCAUGGGAAGAUAAUUCUGGGGUGCAGGCUCCCUCUCUAGAGCCUGGUGAAUGUCCACAUCUACUUCCCAAACCACUGGACCCACGACUCGGGAUUAUGGGAUUAUGGGUGCCCUCAGGCUAGGACCCUCCCCUGAAUCGUAAGUGUGGGACAGGGCAUCAACCUUGAUGCUCUUAGAACCUAGGCGAUAGGUCAGCAUGAAGUAGAACCUGGUGAAGAUGAGGGCCCACGUGGCUUGGCACAGAUUCAGUCUCCUCGCUGUCCGUAUGUACACAAGGUUCCGAUGGUCGGUGAGGAUGACGAAUGGUUCCUUGGUGCCCUCCAGCCAGUGUCUCCACUCCUCUAAUGCUAACUUCACCGCCAAGAGCUCCCGAUCUCCAACGCCAUAUUUCCUCUCUGCGUGGGACAGUUUCUUGGAGAAGAAAGCACAAGGAUACAAUUUUAAUGGGUCCCCCUGUCUUUGUGACUAAACUGCCCCCACACCCACCUCCGAUGCGUCUACCUCAACCACAAAUGGUAGAGUGUGAUCUGGGUGUUUUAGCAAGGGGGCGGAGGUGAAACGCUCCUUGAGGAGACGAAAGUCCUCGUCGGCUGCUGGAGACCAAACCAACCUACGAGGCCCACCCUUGAGGAGGGAGGUGAGAGGGGCGGCGACGGCACUGAAGUUCCUGAUGAAGCGGCGGUAAAAGUUGGCAAACCCCAAAAAACGUUGUAAUCCUUUGAUGGUGGUUGGGACUGGCCAUGACCUUACCGCAUCUACCUUCUUGUCCUCCAUCCUCACUCCCUGCAGGCUGGUAGCCCAAGAAGGAGACAGCCCUCUGGUGGAAUUGGCACUUCUCCGCCUUGAUGAACAGGUGGUUAGCCAAGACUGCUAUAACGCGAGUGAUGUGAUCUUCCAGGUUGGUCGGGAAGAUCAGGAUGUCAUCGAUGUACACAAUCACCUGACGUCCGAGCAUGUCCCUAGACACCUCGUUGACGAAUGCCUGGAACACUGAUGGAGCAUUGGUUAAGCCAAAGGGCUUAACCAAGUAUUCGUAUUGACCAGACAUCAUGCUGUACGCCCUCUUCCACUCAUCCCCCUCCCGGAUGCAAAUGAGAUUGUAGGCACUCCGCAGGUCCAGUUUGGUGAAGAACUGGGACUCGCGGAGCUGCUCGAUGGCUGACGGCACCAGCGGGAGAGGGUACCGAUACUUUGUGGUGAUGUCUCGAUUACCGUGGACUCAAUAACAAGGGCAUCCUCCCUCCUUCUUGGCCACGAAGAAGAAACCAACCAAUGCAGGGGACGUGGACCAGCGGAUGAAACCCUGUUGGAGCGCCUCUUGAAUGUAGUCCUCCAUGGUCUGGGUCUCAGUCACCAACAGAGGGUAGAUGCAUCUGCGCGGAGGUGUAGCCCCGGAAAACUAGUCAAUGGUAAAGUCCCAGGGCCGAUGAGGAGGGAGACAGGUAGCGCGGGUCUUGGAGGAAACCUCCCUUAGACCCUGAUAUUCCCCCGGUUUGUUGGGGCUGAAGGGCAACCACAGGACUCUCAACCAACGUGUAAACAGGGGACAGGAAAGCAGGUAUUCCGGCAUUCAGGUGACCAGUUGGUGAUUCUCAUCCUCGACCAUGAGAUGGUAGGGUUAUGGCGCUGAAGCCAAGGUAGGCCGAGGAUGAUCUUGUGAACUAGUGCACUGGUGAUGAAGGGGAUGUUUUCCUGGUGAUUGGGCUCCACGGUUGAGUGGUUGGGUGAUGUGUGUGAUGGUUCCGGAUCCUAGAGAUCGACAGUAGAGACUUUGAACCGGUAAAGGAGAGGAGAGCGGGUAGGUAGUAAUAUUGAGAGAGGAGGCAAGGGUCUGAGUCCCCCGAGGCGCCGGAAUCCACUAAAGCUGUAGACACAGGGCAUGAGGGACAGGCAGCCAGAGUGAUGGUACUACAAAGAAUCUAACAGGAAGAGCAGUAGAUGGAAUAUUCACUCCUAGUCCAGGGGAUGUAACAUCACGUGACCCUCCCUCUGCUCUAGUGGAUCCCGGAUUCUGAAGAAACGGACACCGCUGGCCUUGUGCCCUCCCUGGCCACAGUACAGCCAGAGCCCCAGCUGUAUCCGUCUGCGUCAUUCCGCCACGGGAAGGCGUGUGACCCCUACCUCCAUGGGUUCAGGCUCUGAUGCCAAACACUCACCGAAGGAGGGAGAGAAGCGAUGAAGAGGAGGUUAUCCAGAUGGAUGGCCAUCUCAAUGAGUGCGUCCAGGGUGAGGUUGUCAUCUCGGCUGGCCAGUUCCAUCUGGAUCUCCUCGCGCAGACCUCUUCUAAAUAACGUGCUGAGCGCCGGCUCAUUUCAUCCACUGGUAGCUGCUACUGUCCGGAAGGUAAGUGCAUACUCAGCAGCUGUCUGAUUCCCCUGCUGGAGCUGAAGCAGAUGCUCACCUCCCUCUCUGCCCUCCGCGGGAUGAUCGAAAAUACGUGAACCCCUCAUAAAACCCAAGAAGACUAUCAAAAAGAAAAUAGCCUGCACAGAGAGACAGGAAACACAGGGAUAAAUACACUUUGGGAAAUAAGCGACACCUGGAGGGAGUGGAGACAAUCACAGGAACAGGUGAAACAGAUCAGGGCGACACAUAAGGCAGAAUGCCGAUACACAAGAACAAUACCAACUGAUGAGUGAACAUGGGAGAGUGACAUAGAAAGGGGAGGAAAUUAUGAAGGUAGUGGAGUCCAGGUGUGAAUCAUAAUGAUUAACAGGUGUGUGUAAUGAUGAGUGCCAGGGCCCUCAUUUAUCAAUGUUGCCUACAAACAGAAAUGUUCGUAAAACAUGCAUGCAAUAAUUUCUAAGCAAAGUGUGGGAUUUAUUCAUUUGUUCUUAUACUUGAGAAUGUGCGUAAAUUUAAGCACACCUCUGACCAUGCGUACACACAGCACCUUGUGGUAGAAAAGUGAAACUGCUAAUGAAAUACCAUCCACCAAAUGGAGAAAGGGAUUGACAUACUGUAUCAAAUAAUAAACUAUGAAGAAAAAAGAUAAUACAUUAAUGGUUUAUUCAUGUAUUUCUUUCAUAGACACUUAUGCUACUAAUAGUUUUCUCAGGGUGCUAUCAAAUUCAUAAAUAUGAAUAAAUAAUAAAAUAAAUUAGAAAGGGAGUGGAAUGUAAGGUUGGAGGCAAUUUAGUUAAACCAGUUAAAUAAUAUUAAAGGCAACACUGAGGCAUCGUGACUUGUCCAACAUGGCACAUCUUGCAUUGCUGGAGGACCUGGCACAAGCUGCAUUAAGCAGGGAGCAUGUUUUCAGUGAGCGUGCAGAUGUUUUUGCUGAGAGCGACACUUGGCUUAUUAGUAGAUUUCAUUUUCCAAGGCAUAGUUUAUUGUAUCUCUGCAACCAACUCUCUCCAGUAUUAGAAAGGGAGACGAAACGCACCAAUGCCAUCCCAGUGCGUACCCAAAUCCUCUCUACCCUGGGAUUAUUUUUGGCCACAAGAACAUUCCAACGGGAGAUUGAGGAUCGGUCUGGCAUUUCACAACCAACCAUGAGCCGAAUAUUGCCUGCAGUCCUUCAUGGCAUUAUUUCAUUGACCCCACAAUACAUACAGUUUCCACUGCUGUGCAACAGGCCAGAGUGGAAAGGGAUUUCCAUGCCAUUGCUGGAUUUCACAAUGUCAUUGGAGCAGUUGACUGCACCCACAUCACAAUAAAAGCACCAUCAUUGAACAAAUUCAACUUGUUCAACCGAAAAGGUUAUCAUUCUGUCAAUGUGCAGGUCCUCUGUGAUUCAAAUUUGGCUUUGUUGAAUGUAGUGGCCAAACGGCCAAGUGGAACACACGAUUCAUUCAUUGUGCAGGACAGUUCAGUCGGCCCUAACCUCCAGGAAGGAGCUGUUAAGGACGGAUGGCUUAUUGAACACCGGGGCUACCCAUUAAAACCAUGGCUGAUGACUCCCCUCACAAACCCCUCAAACCAACAAGAGGCAAGGUUUGCUACAUUGUCAAGGCUUGCAGUGUGCAACAUUGCAAUCAAAAAUGGCAUUCCCCUGAAUGAUCCAACCAGACCCACUCGCCAAAGAGGACACCCUUCUUGUAGGCCUGGGGAUGAGGGGUCAGCCAAAUCACCCACAUCUGUCAAGAUUUCAUGUUUUGUUAUUUUUGUUAUAUUAAUUUUGUUACAUUUAUUUUGUUAUAUUUAUUGUCAAGAAAAAAUAUUGAGAUGUGGUCCAUGUCUGAAUAUAGUUGCAAAAAUAAAGCUUGACUUACCAUCA